ACACCGGCUUCGAAAAAUCGCGAGAUCUCACGACGCCCCUUCAAGGCAUCUGUUCGACUUGCUCCACAUGUCGAUCCCCUGGAAUCGACUUGGAGAUUCGUUCCUUCGUCAAACGUACGAUUCGUUCGGUGGUUCGAUUUAUCGACGGUCGAAGGGAUGAAUCCGAGCGUUUUGGGGGGUAGGGGGUAGCGCGUACAAACGGGCAGGAGGGCGACGCUUGCAUAAAGUGGUGGAAAAUUCGGGUUGAAACCUGUGAAAGCGGGGAAAGAAGAUCAAUAAAGUGGUAUGCCAUACUGUCGGUGCCGCUGGUGUGCUGUUGUAGUAGCGGCUGGCUGGCUGGUGUGUAUUAUUAAGCGGAGGUGUGGAGCUAGAGAGUGCGAGGAAAAGAGAGAGGAGAGACGUGGAAGAGACUAGAGAGAGAGUGAAGAUAAAGAGGGACGAAUGGAGUGACGAUAGACGGGAGAGGAACAGUCCGCACACCAGGAGAACGUUGGUCAGGGAUGAACAGAGAUAAAGCGUUGGUGCACGGGGGCGAAACAUGGAGCGAGAGGACGAAUCGAAGGAGAAGAGGGAGAAGGUGAGAGAAGCAGUUGAAAAGGGAUAAGGUGUCCGGGAUUUGGAGUGGCCGUCCGUUUAUGAUUCGGACAGCGCCUCUCCCUUUUUGGGGAAAUUCCGAAUUGCCCGCUUUCCCGAGCGGUAAACCUGGCAAAAAAACCCAGGAAUGGAAAGGCACGAUGUACGGAGGAAACUUAGGGACUGGGAGAGUGUCAACAACAUACUGGGACAGUCUUUGUCAGAUCGUCGUAUCGUGCAGGCGAAAAACUACAUCUUCUUCAGUCUCAACAAGAUCUUACAAUCAGAAUAUCAAACUCUGCUUGUAUACAACAAGUGCAAAUAAAGUGCCAAACUAUACUAA